UAGGCUUUGGUGCUACUCAUCACAAGAGUCGGGAUUAGGUUUUGGCAUUUCUAAUCCACCAUUCUGGAUUACUGAUUGUUCUGAGGAUAGAAUUGGGAGAAGGAGUGUGGAUACUUCACCAUCAGCUUAUUUUCAGGACCCAAAGUGACUUAUUCUUCUAUCAUGAUGGCUGCCAAAGACAUUAAUGUUCAAUAAGAAAUUUAAUAAAGAUUAGAAAGUGAAGUCAAUAGAGACCACAACAAAACUAUUAAAAUACUUUGCUCUUCCUUCCAAAUUCAUUUAGUUGGCAAAUGUAGAAGUUUAAUUUUACUGUAUAGCUAAUAAUUUUAAACAGAUAGCUUAUAAACAUGUAGUCAUGCAGUGUUUGGGAAAAGUAAGUCCCAAAUAAUUAUUGCAAUAUAGCUGAAGGGAAAUGUAACAAGGAUGUAAUUGCUUUUGUUUUUUUGAAGAGAAAUACUGCCACUAGCUGUGGUAGUAUCUUUCCAUACAGCAUGUUCAGAUUUAUGUUGUUUUCCAGUGAUCUGUUCAACAUAAGGGGUUUUUUUCCUUUAGAGAGAGACACAGAAAAUUUACAAAUAUAAAUAUAUCUUGUCACAAACAAACUAUGUUCUGCUACAGGUUUAUUUUGUCAAAUGGAAAAUAAACUAUAUAAUGCAGCAACAUUAAAAUAAAUAUGCUGUAACCCUUGUUUUAAUAGCAUAUCCAUGGCAAAGAAGCCAUAAGAAGAGCUGAAUUAGAUCAGAUUGACAGAUAUUUCUUGUUCAAUGUUCUUUUUAUGCCAAAGAGAACCCUAUGCAGGCAUACAUAUGAUAUCACUCUUUACUCAGGUGCUGGUUAAGAGAAAAAUAUUACAUAUAAUAUUGGCUAAUAUUUGCAAAGGCUAAUGAGCUGAUAUAACAACUAUAUGAAAGCCCAAAUGUCCAACUAAAGUCUCACUGAAAAUAGACAGUUAACGGGUUGACUGAGAAACAGUUUUCUAUGUUCUUCAAGAAAGCGUUUAUCUGUCAUCUUAGCAUUGCCACAUGAGUCCAUCUUAAUCUUUGUAUUGGCCAUUGCACAAUUGGUAUUUUGUUUCUCCCUAGUGGCAAUGAACAAAAGUCCUUCCAAUGAGUGUCUUCCAAAGGUUCAGGAAGGUAAUAAUAAUAAUCAUCAUCAUCAUCAUCAUCA